GAGGGUAUAGCUCAGUGGUAAAGCAUAUGCCUAGCAUGCUGGAGGUCCUGGGUUCAAUCCCCAGUACUGCCA
rnacentral:tRNA from 1 species